rnacentral:rRNA from 1 species
UUAACACAUGCAAGUCGAGCGGUAAGGCCUUUCGGGGUACACGAGCGGCGAACGGGUGAGUAACACGUGGGUGAUCUGCCCUGCACUUCGGGAUAAGCCUGGGAAACUGGGUCUAAUACCGGAUAUGACCUCAGGUUGCAUGACUUGGGGUGGAAAGAUUUAUCGGUGCAGGAUGGGCCCGCGGCCUAUCAGCUUGUUGGUGGGGUAAUGGCCUACCAAGGCGACGACGGGUAGCCGACCUGAGAGGGUGACCGGCCACACUGGGACUGAGACACGGCCCAGACUCCUACGGGAGGCAGCAGUGGGGAAUAUUGCACAAUGGGCGAAAGCCUGAUGCAGCGACGCCGCGUGAGGGAUGACGGCCUUCGGGUUGUAAACCUCUUUCAGCAGGGACGAAGCGCAAGUGACGGUACCUGCAGAAGAAGCACCGGCUAACUACGUGCCAGCAGCCGCGGUAAUACGUAGGGUGCAAGCGUUGUCCGGAAUUACUGGGCGUAAAGAGUUCGUAGGCGGUUUGUCGCGUCGUUUGUGAAAACCAGCAGCUCAACUGCUGGCUUGCAGGCGAUACGGGCAGACUUGAGUACUGCAGGGGAGACUGGAAUUCCUGGUGUAGCGGUGAAAUGCGCAGAUAUCAGGAGGAACACCGGUGGCGAAGGCGGGUCUCUGGGCAGUAACUGACGCUGAGGAACGAAAGCGUGGGUAGCGAACAGGAUUAGAUACCCUGGUAGUCCACGCCGUAAACGGUGGGC